UACGUAGGGGGCUAGCGUUGUCCGGAAUCAUUGGGCGUAAAGCGCGUGUAGGCGGUCCGGUAAGUCCGCUGUGAAAGUCGGGGGCUCAACCCUCGGAUGCCGGUGGAUACUGUCGGGCUUGAGUACGGAAGAGGCGAGUGGAAUUCCUGGUGUAGCGGUGAAAUGCGCAGAUAUCAGGAGGAACACCAAAGGCGAAGGCAGCAUCCUGGGAAGUUCCUGACGCUCGGGUGCGAAAGCCAGGGGAGCGAACGGG
rnacentral:rRNA from 1 species